GACGAACGCUGGCGGCGUGCUUAACACAUGCAAGUCGAACGGAAAGGCCCUGCUUUUGUGGGGUGCUCGAGUGGCGAACGGGUGAGUAACACGUGAGUAACCUGCCCUUGACUUUGGGAUAACUUCAGGAAACUGGGGCUAAUACCGGAUAGGAGCUCCUGCUGCAUGGUGGGGGUUGGAAAGUUUCGGCGGUUGGGGAUGGACUCGCGGCUUAUCAGCUUGUUGGUGGGGUAGUGGCUUACCAAGGCUUUGACGGGUAGCCGGCCUGAGAGGGUGACCGGCCACAUUGGGACUGAGAUACGGCCCAGACUCCUACGGGAGGCAGCAGUGGGGAAUAUUGCACAAUGGGCGGAAGCCUGAUGCAGCAACGCCGCGUGCGGGAUGACGGCCUUCGGGUUGUAAACCGCUUUCGCCUGUGACGAAGCGUGAGUGACGGUAAUGGGUAAAGAAGCACCGGCUAACUACGUGCCAGCAGCCGCGGUGAUACGUAGGGUGCGAGCGUUGUCCGGAUUUAUUGGGCGUAAGGGCUCGUAGGUGGUUGAUCGCGUCGGAAGUGUAAUCUUGGGGCUUAACCCUGAGCGUGCUUUCGAUACGGGUUGACUUGAGGAAGGUAGGGGAGAAUGGAAUUCCUGGUGGAGCGGUGGAAUGCGCAGAUAUCAGGAGGAACACCAGUGGCGAAGGCGGUUCUCUGGGCCUUUCCUGACGCUGAGGAGCGAAAGCGUGGGGAGCGAACAGGCUUAGAUACCCUGGUAGUCCACGCUGUAAACGGUGGGUACUAGGUGUGGGGUCCAUUCCACGGGUUCCGUGCCGUAGCUAACGCUUUAAGUACCCCGCCUGGGGAGUACGGCCGCAAGGCUAAAACUCAAAGGAAUUGACGGGGCCCCGCACAAGCGGCGGAGCAUGCGGAUUAAUUCGAUGCAACGCGUAGAACCUUACCUGGGUUUGACAUGGAUCGGGAGUGCUCAGAGAUGGGUGUGCCUCUUUUGGGGUCGGUUCACAGGUGGUGCAUGGCUGUCGUCAGCUCGUGUCGUGAGAUGUUGGGUUAAGUCCCGCAACGAGCGCAACCCUUGUUCACUGUUGCCAGCACGUUAUGGUGGGGACUCAGUGGAGACCGCCGGGGUCAACUCGGAGGAAGGUGGGGAUGACGUCAAGUCAUCAUGCCCCUUAUGUCCAGGGCUUCACGCAUGCUACAAUGGCUGGUACAGAGAGUGGCGAGCCUGUGAGGGUGAGCGAAUCUCGGAAAGCCGGUCUCAGUUCGGAUUGGGGUCUGCAACUCGACCUCAUGAAGUCGGAGUCGCUAGUAAUCGCAGAUCAGCAACGCCGCGGUGAAUACGUUCCCGGG
rnacentral:rRNA from 1 species